UACGAAGGUGGCAAGCGUUGUUCGGAUUUACUGGGCGUACAGGGAGCGUAGGCGGUUGGAUAAGCCCUCCGUGAAAUCUCCAGGCUUAACCUGGAAAGUGCAGAGGGGACUGUUCAGCUAGAGGAUGGGAGAGGAGAGCGGAAUUCCCGGUGUAGCGGUGAAAUGCGUAGAGAUCGGGAGGAAGGCCGGUGGCGAAGGCGGCGCUCUGGAACAUUUCUGACGCUGAGGCUCGAAAGCGUGGGGAGCAAACAGG
rnacentral:rRNA from 1 species